UGCAUCAAUCUCUGACAUUUGGUCUAGAUGAAGAGUUUGUCUUAUUGGCAAUCAUAUCACAUCUCCAUAUUUGUUACUUGUUGAAAUAUUAGGUCAUUGCUCCAUUGUUAAAGACCCUGCAUCAAUCUCUGACAUUUUGUCUUCAGAUGAAGAGUUUGUCUUAUUGGCAAUCAUAGCAUAUGCAAUUUAAGACUGUGCCUUUGACUCAUGUGGGGCGGGGAAUAAAGGAUUAUUGAGACUGCUACAAGGGGGAGGGAGGAAGGGAGGGGGAAACCAAGACUAGAAGAAGAGCAUACUGUGAACCAACUCAUUUUUCAGACAAUUUAUUAACGAGACUUCGAGCGAAAAGAAAUAAGCCGAAUAUAAAUCACGAAUAUUUCAAAAUAGAAUUGUCUGUUAAAUGAAG
rnacentral:lncRNA from 1 species